CCUACGGGGAGCAGCAGUGGGGAAUAUUGCACAAUGGGGGAAACCCUGAUGCAGCGACGCCGCGUGAGUGAAGAAGUAAUUCGUUAUGUAAAGCUCUAUCAGCAGGGAAGAAAAUGACGGUACCUGAGUAAGAAGCCCCGGCUAACUACGUGCCAGCAGCCGCGGUAAUACGUAGGGGGCAAGCGUUAUCCGGAUUUACUGGGUGGAAAGGGAGCGUAGACGGCAGUGCAAGUCUGGAGUGAAAGGCGGGGGCUCAACCCCCGGACUGCUCUGGAAACUGUACGGCUGGAGUGCAGGAGAGGUAAGUGGAAUUCCUAGUGUAGCGGUGAAAUGCGUAGAUAUUAGGAGGAACACCAGUGGCGAAGGCGGCUUACUGGACUGUAACUGACGUUGAGGCUCGAAAGCGUGGGGAGCAAACAGGAUUAGAUACCCCAGUAGUC
rnacentral:rRNA from 1 species